UUUCUUGGUCAUUUAGAGGAAGUAAAAGUCGUAACAAGGUCUCCGUAGGUGAACGUNGCGGAGGGAUCAUUACAGAGCUUUUUAACUCCUAAAACCAUGUGAACUUACCUACUGUUUCCUCGGUGGAAGGUACCCGGAAGGGUGCUGGAAGCCGGUGGACAUUUAACCUCUUGUUAAUUUUGUUAGUUCUGAAUCAAACUACGAAAUAAUUUAAAACUUUCAACAACGGAUCUCUUGGUUCUGGCAUCGAUGAAGAACGCAGCGAAAUGCGAUAAGUGAUGUGAAUUGCAGAAUUCGAGUGAAUCAUCUUCUGUUUGAACGCUUAUUGCGCCCAUUAGUAUUCUAGUGGGCAUGCCUGUUGGAGCGUCAUUUCAACCGUUAAGCCUAGUUUAUUGUUGGGAGGUUGCCUAAUGACUCAGCUCCUCAUAAACCAGAUGGCAGAGUGUUUUACGUGCUGUGAGCGCCUUAAUUCGUAUUCUUGCCUUUGAGCACGCAUUUUGAGACGAUAGCCUGGAAGCCGCUUGCUUCGGCAGCACUUUUGUAAUGGCUGACCUCGGAUCUAGUAAGAAUACCCGCUGAACUUAACCUUAUCAAA
rnacentral:rRNA from 1 species